AGUAAACGUUUUUUGACAGUUGAUUUUCUUCUGAGUGUGGCCAUUAAUCCUGCUGUCAGCGGGAAUGAAGACACUUCCUGAGGAAGGUCUAAAGCAGUUUUUGUAAUGCUGAGCCAUGGUAGCAUGCAAAUGAGAGUGUGACUUCGGGCCCUCUCUCCUGCUGUUUAACGUUGCUGCAAACCUGUUCUAGAACUUCAGUAAAAUAAGUUUUUUAAUGUAGCCUACAGAAAAUAUACUUCUUCUUUUUAGGAGACAAAGGAGACCACGGAAAAUCCAAGAUGACAAUAGAUGGAAACUUUCAGCCUUCUGUUUAAAGAUGAAUAAAGUCAUCAAAGGGAGAUAUUUUGCUGAUGUGGCAGAAGUGAAACAAAAAACAGCAGAAGCACAAAAAAGCAUCAAAACCAACAAGUUCAAAAACUGUUUUGAGCAGUAGAAAAAAAUGGCUCCCUAAGUGUAUUGCAUCAAAUGAAGAGUACUUAGAAGGCGACUGAAGUUUAAACAUGCAAGAAUAAAUACGCAAUUUUAUCAAUUAACUUAUAAAUUACUAUAUAUCGGUACUGUGAAUUAUAACUAUUAGAUGUCAUCUGGGGUAUAUAGAUAUAAAUAAGCAAGAUCAAACCUCAAAAUCUGUAACAUCACUUAGCCUUCAGAAAGCAAUAAAAUUUUAAAAAAUCAACAUACUUCGAGUAAAUAUUUUUAAAAAGCAUAAUAAAAUCAUAUCUACUUUUUAAAUUCCAAUUAAAAUUUUAAGGCAUAAGAAAUAAAAAUAUUACUUGCACUUAUCUUGAGACUAUUCCUAUAUAUAGUUAUUAGUCAUCUACUUUCAUUUCCUAGAAACCAUUUUUGCAUGAAAUAUCCAGAAAAUUGAGGGAAAACAUCAUGAACAUUCAGGCACAGGCUCAAAUUCAUGCUUGGGUUUUUUUCCUACAAAUUCUAUGAUAUCUGUGACAUAAUUAUUUCUCAUAAUAAACUAAGUCAUAAAAUUGUUUCACAAAACUACCAUUUCUAUGUUAUAGAAUAAAGUAGUAGUUGGUGAAAUAAGACAGUAUCUAUAAACAAAGGUAACUAAUCUACUUACAUGAGAGAUUUCAAUGUACCUCAUGACUUUGAUCUCUACAUUAUGAAAAAUCAACAGAUCAAUUCUGAAGAACUCUCAAUGAAAUAGAAUGCUUGGGUUUCCCAAACAGCAUGUGUAAAGACAGGAAUGUGGCAUAUCACUAAUGUCUAGGAGGCUGCUCCUCCUCCUCUCCCCUCUUGUUAGACUUGGCAAUGCUGGAAUUCACCAUAAUAUUAUAAUCUUACAUUUUGUUAGCCCAGAAAAAAAUGUACACUUUUCUUUCAUAUCUUUGUCUCU